UACAAGAAACAAUGGCCACAAACUAGCAGAGAGCAGAUUUAGAUUGGACAUUAGGAAGAACUUCACAGUUCGAGUGGCCAAGGUCUGGAACGGGCUCCCAAGGGAGGUGGUGCUCUCCCCUACCCUGGGGGUCUUCAAGAGGAGGUUAGAUGAGUAUCUAGCUGGGGUCAUCUAGACCCAGCACUCUUUCCUGCUUAUGCAGGGGGUCGGACUCGAUGAUCUAUUGAGGUCCCUUCCGACCCUAACAUCUAUGAAUCUAUGAAAUACUGGAUUACUGGCAAGAGCUGUAAAUGGGAGUUUGCCUUGGGUGGGCAGAUGCCUCCUAUCGGUACUUUGGAACUGGGCUGGACUUCUUGCACAUGACCUCAAAGUCCAAACCGAAUGCCUGAUUUGGGGUUGGGAAGGAUUUUUUUUUCCCCUACAGAUCAAAUUGGCAAAUACCCUAAGGGUUAUCUGCCAUUCUUUGUAAACUUAGGCCUAGGCAGCUUUCUAGGAUGGUCUGCACAUCUAUUAGCUUAACAAAUUCCCUGUCAAUGUAGUGGCAAGACACAGGCAGCACCCUUGUCACCCCUGCUCUUUACCUGUGGCACAUUGUAGAUUUUCUUCACAGGGCACUGUUUGCUUGUGAUAUGUUACAGAAUAUAGUAAAAGUAGAUGAUUUUGUGAACACUUUGGAUAAAUAGUUGCCUGUGAAUGCAGAGGACUAGACUGGAUAUCUGUGGAGCCCUUUUCCAGUGUUCUGUUUACAGCACCAAUCCUUGAGCCAUCUGUUUGAUUAUCUUGUCACAUUUUCCCCUUUCCUCUUGAAGAGCUUAAAGAAUUCCAUAGGCACUCUCUAAACUUGUUCAAAUUAGUGUUUGUCAUAACAUUGGCUUGCAAUCCUUCAAACAAUUAUGCAUGUACUUAACUUCAAAGGGCCCGAGCAGUCCCAUUGACUUCAAGAGACUUUGUCCCAGUAAAAUAGCACUCAAUUUAUUUCUAUAUGUGAUUCUUCAGCAACAACUGCAAUUUCCCACAUUAAGUACUUCUAAAUUGAUGUAGUUCACAGUAUAUUAAAAUUACUAUUGUACUGUCUCCUUGUGAUAGCCUUUAAUUGGGUAGACAAUGUUUCCUUCUUAAACAAUGAAUUGAGGCAACUGGGUGCAUUUAGAGGGGUGUCUUUUGUACCAACCCCUUCAACAGUCUUGAAAAACCUUUUGAGAAAAAUUCCAUUUUUCAACAAUAAGCAGGUAGGUGAAGCUGAUUAUACAUUUAGCUGUGACUGACUUGCGAUUAUGGCAACUAUUUGUUCUGCAAUUGUGCUUCUAAGAGGCUACAAACCCUAGAAGGUCAGCAGUUAGAACAGUAAUAUAAGUGUUUGUCAAGGCUAAAACACAGUGUAGAAUUUUACUGUAAAUCAUAAUGAGGGAAUGUCUAAUAAUAAUACAUAUUUUAUCUACGUUGUAGCUAUGCAUAUAAUUUAUGACAAUUACUUUCAGAUACUGUGCUGAUAUAGGCAAACAGGUGCGAUUUUUAUGCACUUUUUGAUUGGGGAUGUGUAUCUGAGAUGUAUAUAAUGCAGUUGCUAAAGCAUUUACAUUUUUCAAAAUAGGUGUCUGUGUUGCAUUUUACUUUGGGUAGGAGUGGAUGAGAUGGUAACUAGCCCAUGGGUUGGUGUAAACUGGACAGGGGAUGUAGACAGAAGUAGUGUUUAUUUUUUGCAACCGUGAAAGAGAGACUAGCCAGAAUUCCAGCCCUGUCCUUGGCUAUGACUUCGUGUCCAUGUCCCUGUCUGGGUCCAUAUCCUUGUCAAGGUAUCUAGUAGAAUUCGCUGAUUUUCAUUGAAAUCUGACAGGGCUGUGCCAUGAGUGCUUCUGCUCUGGCCUCAGAGCAGGUUUGCUGAAGUGGGGAGUGCUUUGUGGAAGCUGUGCUCUUCUUGUCUUUUAGCAACAGGGAUACACUGGUGAUGAGUACCCUUGAAACUUUUAUAGGUUUUUUUUAUACUUUGGGAACAGCUGUAUGUUUUGAAAAAGUAUUUUAUCUAACCAAGGGCAUAGAGUAGGUUGUUUAGGCUAGGGGAGAUCGCUUGUUGCCUAGUUGCUUAAUUGCUGGCCUUGCUAGAAGGAAAGGCCAUAUCAGUGAGGUCCCGGGUGGAGUUGGAAAGGGGGGUUACUUGCUGAGCUUGCUGAAUAACAGGUACCACAUCAGCAAAUUAACUGUCACGAAGACAAGUUCAAGCUGGCUAGGGGGUAGUCUGUAGCUAGGGCGAAGUGUGCAUGGACCAAAAGGGGCAACCUAUAGUAACUGCACAGCGUGUAAGGCUAGAAGAGGCUAUAUAAGGCUGAUGCCCACUUGGGUGGGGGUGCUUGCUUUGUGAACGAUUGCUAAGCACCGCUUUCUGCGCAGAAAUAAAGAUUAAGUUGGAUCCUUCACCCCUGUGUGUUUAUUGGCACAAGCGCACCGGGCACGAACUCACUGUCCUUUGGGGACAACAAUUUCUGGUGAUCCAGAUGGGACCUAGCUGACUGCCUUGCCCGGUCCACCUCUUCGGCUCCAGCAACAACUGUGGAUGGCGCGAGGGCCAGGCACCACCAACCUUAUUCGUCGGAGGUCUGACUGUCUCCUGGUUGCCUGAUGGAGUCGUGGAGGGGCACAACAGCGCAACGCUCAGAGGACCAACUUAAUCGGGCGGGGCGAGGGAGGUCUCAACGGACUGGUAUGUCCAGGAACGAUUUCCACUCCCCUUAGAUACACCAGUCCAUAAGUUCCAGAUCGGAGACGAGGUGCUGGUCCGAACGUGGAAAGACGAGCCGCUUCAACCCCGGUGGAAGGGACCAUAUCCUGUGAUUCUCACCACUCACGCUGCAGUAAAGGUUUCGGGGGGUAAAACCAUGGAUACACUCCACUCGGGUGAAGGCCGCACCAGAAGUACCACCUGCAGGAGAAGUUGCUGAGAGUGUCGCACCGGAAGCCGACACAAACGGACACCGUUGGACAGCAGAGCCAGUAGAAGGACUUAAAUUUCUGUUUAACAUCAACCAUGUGGAAAGUAGUUCUUUGCAUAGGUGUAAUGUUUCUAGGGUCUAAGGGGUUGGUGCAUCAAAAGUUUGAAAAGAAUCAAAAUGUGUGGGUUUAUUUGGCAAAGGAUGUAUUAAAUAUCACUCAUUUUUGUUUAGCAGGUGGAACGUCGGUUGAGGAUAUUUUCACGUCAUGCCUUAUAGGGGUGCCCACUCCAUUAGAAGCACUCUGGAAUCAGACUUCGUUCACAUCCGGGGAAAUAGGAGUCCCAAUUAAUUACACCAACAACCCCAUGUGGGUAACCAUUACCACAAAAAGAAACACCAGUACCUUUGCAAUAGAUUUGUUGACAGUCACCUCCCCUGGUAACACCAGCUGUGCCAAAUUUGUGAAUUGUACAAAGCUUGUAAGAGCCUAACCAGAGAGAGGAGAAUUUUUGAUUGCUCAGACAUGACUAAUGUGUCCUACAACUAUGGUCAUGUUGUAUUACCCUUGGGGUGGUUCCUUCUUUGUGGAAAGACUGCUUAUUCAUAUAUCCCAGCCAAUGCCACGGGAGGCCCUUGUGCUCUGGGCCGGUUGACUGUCUGGCUACCGGGUGUGCCUACAACCUCUAGCAAACGUCACCGGAGAGGUCUGAAUAUGCUAGAUGAAUCCUGUAAUAGUGACAUAGACCUCCUGAGUAAGGCUGAGGUAGUGUCCCUAGCAGUUUCCAUAGUAGGAGUACCGGGCCUGGCCGUGGACGCCCAGAUGCAACCAAGUAAGGUGGCCUAUGCCCUGGCAAAGGGCCUAAAUACAACUUCACAGGCCCUAGCUGCCCUCAAUACUGAAAUGAAAGAACUAAGAGGAGCUACUCUGCAAAAUAGAGCAGCCAUAGAUUACCUGUUGCUGAGGCAUAACCACAGAUGUGAAGAGUUCGAGGGAAUGUGUUGUUUCAAUUUGACAAAUAAUUCCGAGUUGAUAGAGUCAAAAGUGCUGAAGUUAAAAGAAGUUCUGUCCCACAUUAAGCAAGGGGAAGGGUUCGACUUCUCAUGGCUUACUUCUUGGCUUCCUAAUUUUUCAUGGCUUAAGCAAAUUUUCCUAUUAGUUGUGGCAAGUAUGUGUAUUCUCUUGAUGAUUUGUUGUAGAGUACAGUGUGUGCCUAUGUGUUGUGAGGUACUCAAGAGAUCAAUUUCUUCCCCCGUUCACCACGUGAUGUUUGUAAAACCAUCAGUUACAAACCCGAUCCAAAAGAAUCGGGAGGGAGCAAAGAGAUUUCUGAAGAUGAAAAAGAUGGUUGAGGACUAUGGUCCUAUUCCAUAGGGCCAUAGCCUCGAAGGGGGGAUUUGAUGAGUACCCUUGAAACUUUUAUAUGUUUUUUUUUUUAUACUUUGGGAACAGCUGUAUGUUUUGAAAAAGUAUUUUAUCUAACCAAGGGCAUAGAGUAGGUUGUUUAGGCUAGGGGAGAUCGCUUGUUGCCUAGUUGCUUAAUUGCUGGCCUUGCUAGAAGGAAAGGCCAUAUCAGCGAGGUCCCAGGUGGAGUUGGAAAGGGGGGUUACUUGCUGAGCUUGCUGAAUAACAGGUACCACAUCAGCAAAUUAACUGUCACGAAGACAAGUUCAAGCUGGCUAGGGGGUAGUCUGUAGCUAGGGCGAAGUGCCAAAAGGGGCAACCUAUAGUAACUGCACAGCGUGUAAGGCUAGAAGAGGCUAUAUAAGGCUGAUGCCCACUUGGGUGGGGGUGCUUGCUUUGCGAACGAUUGCCAAGCACCGCUUUCUGCGCAGAAAUAAAAAUUAAGUUGGAUCCUUCA